AUGCAGUCAAUACUACACCCUGUUCUCUGACCUGUGAGACCCGGGCUGGGAUGACUGCAAACAGCAAUCAGACUCCUUGGUCAUUCUGAGGCUUGUGACUUGUACAUGUCCUUCAUUAGAACCUUGGGGACAGUU